GGAUUAGAAACCCUGGUAGUCCGCACCGUAAACGAUGUUCACUAGCUGGUGGGGAGUUUACUCUUCGCUGGCGCAGCUAACGCAUUAAGUGAACCGCCUGGGGAGUACGGGUCGCAAGAUUAAAACUCAAAGGAAUUGACGGGGACCCGCACAAGCGGUGGAGCAUGUGGUUUAAUUCGAAGCAACGCGAAGAACCUUACCAGCCCUUGACAUGCCAGUGACCGGUCGCAGAGAUGUGACUUUCCCUUCGGGGCACUGGACACAGGUGCUGCAUGGCUGUCGUCAGCUCGUGUCGUG
rnacentral:rRNA from 1 species